CGGCGUGCCUAAUACAUGCAAGUCGAACGAGGGUAGCUUGCGACCCUAGUGGCGAACGGGUGAGGUAACACGUAGGUAACCUGCCCUUAAGCUUGGGAUACCCAGAGGAAACUUUGGCUAAUACCGGAUAACAACAGAAGAGGCAUCUCUUCAGUUUGAAAGGCCCUUUACGGGGUCACUUAAGGAUGGACCUGCGGCGCAUUAGCUAGUUGGUGAGAUAACAGCCCACCAAGGCGAGGAUGCGUAGCCGACCUGAGAGGGUGAUCGGCCACAUUGGAACUGAGACACGGUCCAAACUCCUACGGGAGGCAGCAGUAAGGAGUUUUCGGCAAUGGGGGAAACCCUGACCGAGCAACGCCGCGUGAGUGAAUGACGGCCCUAUGGGUUGUAAAGCUCUGUUGUAAGGGACGAAUGAUUCGCUUAGGAAAUGAAGCGAGUUUGACGGUACCUUACCAGAAGGCCACGGCUAACUACGUGCCAGCCGCCGC
rnacentral:rRNA from 1 species